AGAUUGAACGCUAGCGGGAUGCUUUACACAUGCAAGUCGAACGGCAGCGCGGACUUCGGUCUGGCGGCGAGUGGCGAACGGGUGAGUAAUAUAUCGGAACGUGCCCAGUAGCGGGGGAUAACUACGCGAAAGCGUGGCUAAUACCGCAUACGCCCUACGGGGGAAAGGGGGGAUCGCAAGACCUCUCACUAUUGGAGCGGCCGAUAUCAGAUUAGCUAGUUGGUGAGGUAAAGGCUCACCAAGGCGACGAUCUGUAGCUGGUUUGAGAGGACGACCAGCCACACUGGGACUGAGACACGGCCCAAAUCCUACGGGAGGCAGCAGUGGGGAAUCUUGCGACAAU
rnacentral:rRNA from 1 species